rnacentral:rRNA from 1 species
CCUACGGGUGGCUGCAGUGGGGAAUAUUGGACAAUGGGCGAAAGCCUGAUCCAGCCAUGCCGCGUGUGUGAAGAAGGCCUUCGGGUUGUAAAGCACUUUCAGUGGGGAAGAAAGCCUUGGGGCUAAUACCCUCGAGGAAGGACAUCACCCACAGAAGAAGCACCGGCUAACUCCGUGCCAGCAGCCGCGGUAAUACGGAGGGUGCGAGCGUUAAUCGGAAUUACUGGGCGUAAAGCGCGCGUAGGCGGUCUGAUAAGCCGGUUGUGAAAGCCCCGGGCUCAACCUGGGAACGGCAUCCGGAACUGUCAGGCUAGAGGGCAGGAGAGGAAGGUAGAAUUCCCGGUGUAGCGGUGAAAUGCGUAGAGAUCGGGAGGAAUACCAGUGGCGAAGGCGGCCUUCUGGACUGACACUGACGCUGAGGUGCGAAAGCGUGGGUAGCAAACAGGAUUAGAUACCCUGGUAGUC